GUCGGAGUAGCUUAACUGGUAGAGCGUCAGACUGAAGAUCUGAGGGUUCUAGUUCGAAUCUGGACCGUGGCA
rnacentral:tRNA from 1 species